rnacentral:misc_RNA from 1 species
GAACAACGUAUAGGUCUCUUAACAGUUUCAACUUGAAGUCCUUUGGGUUCUUUCCGGGGACGACCAGGAGGUCUUUUAAUAUGGGGUGAAAGUGGACAUAGAACGAUAUCAUUACCUGAGGAAGCUGAAGAAAUGAUGUCAUCUGGAUGUGGUAUGUCAAAUUUCGCGAGUUCAUCCAUAACUUCAGCAUAUAUAUGUUCUUGUG